rnacentral:antisense_RNA from 2 species
GAGAGCACGACAUUGCUCACAUUGCUUCCAGUAUUAUUUUAGCCAGCCUAUGUGCUGGCUUUUUUUU